UUGACUUUUUGUCAGUUUCUUGAAUUUCUUAAAUUUGUUUGUAUACAUAAAAUAAAGAGCUUCAUCUCCUUCUACCACAUGGGAACUUUUAAGAGUCUAGCAAUUAGGAUAAUAUCUGUGAAGGUAAUGUAAUACAACUAAGUAACCAUAUUUCUUUUCAUUUUCAGUUAUUAACAGUGUGUAGCAUCACAAAUAAAGGUCCUUAGAUGUAAAAUUAUUCUGUGCCACAUAGUCUACAAACUUCCACAAUUUCUUUUUCCCAUCACUAUUCAUCUACAAGAUGAACACCAAAGGACAAAACUCCUGAAUUUGCACCCAUUCAACUUUUUCCACUUGACAUGUACAGAGUGCAGCAGAAAAGUGACAUUCAGGGUGCCUUCAUUCAAGUUUAAGCUCUGGUCUUGAGUUCAGCUUUCUGACACCUUGGGAAGCAGCAGGUGAAAGAGCCCUAAAAUAAAAAUUUCAAAACUUGUCUAAAGAAAUAACAGGAAACAAAAAAUGAAACACAAUUUCCUUGUCUGUGGAUUGGUUGAAUUAAUACCAUCAUAAUUAAAAUACUACUGACAGCAGUUUAUAGAUUCAAUGUGAUCCUAGA